UGGGGGUGGCGUGAGUUGUGG
rnacentral:miRNA from 1 species